rnacentral:rRNA from 1 species
ACGGGUGAAGUAACACGGUAGGUAACCUACCUAUAAGACUGGGAUAACUUCGGGAAACCGGAGCUAAUACCGGAUAAUAUUUCGAACCGCAUGGUUCGAUAGUGAAAGGUGGUUUUGCUAUCACUUAUAGAUGGACCCGCGCCGUAUUAGCUAGUUGGUAAGGUAACGGCUUACCAAGGCGACGAUACGUAGCCGACCUGAGAGGGUGAUCGGCCACACUGGAACUGAGACACGGUCCAGACUCCUACGGGAGGCAGCAGCG